rnacentral:rRNA from 1 species
UACGAAGGGGGCGAGCGUUGUUCGGAUUUACUGGGCGUAAAGGGCGCGCAGGCGGCCAUUCAAGUCAGGCGUGAAAGCCCCGGGCUUAACCUGGGAGGUGCGUCUGGGACUGGGUGGCUAGAGAUCGGGAGAGGAGAGUGGAAUUCCCAGUGUAGAGGUGAAAUUCGUAGAUAUUGGGAAGAACACCAGUGGCGAAGGCGGCUCACUGGCCCGUAACUGACGCUGAGGUGCGAAAGCGUGGGGAGCAAACAGG